UGGGGAAUUUUGGACAAUGGGCGAAAGCCUGAUCCAGCCAUGCCGCGUGAGUGAAGAAGGCCUUCGGGUUGUAAAGCUCUUUUAGUCGGAAAGAAAGAGUUGCAAUGAAUAAUUGUGAUUUAUGACGGUACCGACAGAAAAAGUACCGGCUAACUACGUGCCAGCAGCCGCGGUAAUACGUAGGGUGCGAGCGUUAAUCGGAAUUACUGGGCGUAAAGGGUGCGCAGGCGGUUUUGUAAGUCAGAUGUGAAAUCCCCGGGCUUAACCUGGGAAUUGCGUUUGAAACUAUGAGACUAGAGUGCAAGAGAGGGGAGUGGAAUUCCAUGUGUAGCAGUGAAAUGCGUAGAGAUGUGGAAGAACACCGAUGGCGAAGGCAGCUCCCUGGAUUGACACUGACGCUCAUGCACGAAAGCGUGGGGAUCAAACA
rnacentral:rRNA from 1 species